rnacentral:misc_RNA from 1 species
CAAAAUUCAAAAAAAUUCUAUUCAUCGGUUCACUUUUUUCACCCUCACCGCGCAGCUACCGUCGGCGACCAACAGAACAGCGGCGCAGCCACCGUCGGCGACCAUCAGGGCAGCGGCGUAGAAACCGUCGGCAACCAGCAGGGCAGCGGAGCUGUUUUGGCUGCCAUUUUCAAGUGCUCUUAUUGAAUAUAUACCAUCAUUAUGGAUGCUCCGAAUGAACUGAGCUACAAACCACCAUCAGAAUUUGAGGAGGUCAAAAAGGAUUCACUUGUCAAUCUUAACAUUUCAGACUCAACUGAGCUCUGGCUUAUACAGUGGCCCUUUAAUCAACAUCCAGGUCUUGAUGGGCAAGAAGUUUCAUUGAAGCUCCAUCAUGAUGGGCAUAUCGGCAGUUUUGAGGAUUCAUCUGGUAAAUCAUAUGAGGUGGUCAGUUGUAGAGCGCAGGACCCCGAUGCGUUGGUCUUUCUAUCAUCUGAUUCUGAGCCAAAAAUUGCUGGCAAAAUUUCGCGGCGUGUUUCCCUUGUCCAUUAUCCGGAACCAAGUGAGCUUAAACAGAACAGCAUAAACUUGAAGCAGAUGAUGGCUCAGAGAUCGUCUGGUACUACAUUGACCAAUUCAUCUCGUCGCUUUGCAACUCCUAGUCAAAGUACUAGGACACGGAGUAUUAUGCGAUCAGAGAGUUCAUCCAAAUCUACCAAGAGAAAACACAGUGAUGGCGGCCCUGCAAAAUCCAAUAACCAAUCUGUUCAAAAUUCAGGCAAAAGUGGUCGUAGUGCAUUAACCUCUUCAGGAUCCUUCGAUCACUCUCAAGAUCAAAAAUCAAAGAAGAAGCGGAAAAUUGAUGGUUGAAGUGCUUCCUCUUAAGUGUUCUGAAUCGAAUUCUUUUUGGUUAAAGAAUCUCUUUCUAGCUGCUCUAGAGCGCGUUAACCAUUCAACGCCAUUAGUUUCACUCUUACGAUAUGUAAAUGUAUGAGGUUUUUG